AAAAGAAGAUGGGGGACCCUUCCCCCCCCGAAUGGAAGGAAGGGGUAAGGAAAAGCAGUUCACCCCCAACAGGACUCACUGUGGUUCUCAGUUGAUGGCACCCCAAAAAAGCUCCUCCUUUUCUUCCAGCGAGCACAGAGACUCUCCGAUGAAACACACAGCAGGUCCGGGCUGGAGACAAAAGACAGCUCGCAGGCAAGUUGAAGCCAGCAGUCAGGGCUGACCAGGACGGGAAACCAAACAAAAAGGCUUCCAGGCCUUCUCUCCAAAUGCCCCAAACACAGACCCUGUCUCCAUCCUCGGAAAAAAGAACCCAGCCGUCUGAAUCUCUCCCCUCUGAACUGAGCCAGCCGCCCCCUCCCCAAAACUCCUCCCCUCUCCCCCAGUCUCUGAUGGGCCAUUUGCAAGGAAUUGGGCCAGAUCUUUUGUAAAGCUAAUUGGCUCCCUUCCCCCUUUUCCACUCAAACUCCAUCUUUCCUACAGUGGGGGGGGGGCCAGGGGAAGGAAAAAUUCUCCUGAAUUUCUAACCUAUAACACAGGUACUCACCCAUCUCACAAGAAAAAAAAAGUAAAAGCGAAACUAUCACACACUGAAUCACAGAAUAAUAGAAUCAUAGAAUGAUUUGGGUUGGAAGGGACUUUAAAGAUCAUUUCGUUCCAAUCCCCCUGCCAUGGGACACCUUCCACUAGGCCAAGUUGCUCAAAUCUCCAUUCAACGUGGCCUUGAACCUAGCCUUGAACAACACCACCUUUUACAUUGUGAAUUCUUUUUGAAUAAUAGAGAAUAAUAUGAACAAUGUCCUUGUUCUUUGGCUUUCCUUAUUUAAGUGGGUUUGUGAUUACAGAAGAGAGGAAUCAAAAGCAUAUUACUAGACAUUUAGUUGAAGGAAAUGGAUCAGAUCUGAACAACCUAGAGAUUCUAUCAUUUUUUUUCCACUCAAGAUCUCAAAGAAUUCCAGAGCCUUAUCAAGACUCUGCCUACAUACUCCCAGGGAGACUGAUUUCAAAUUGGAGUAAUGCUUAAAUGAAGACACCACUGAAAGAAUUGUCAUAAAAAUGACUUGUCAUAAUUAGUAUUAUUUUCUAGGUGAGCCCCACUGUGCCAAUCCACCCCUUACAGAAAGACUGCUGCUUACUACAGAAAGAAAAAAAGACAGUAGACUAAUUGUACUGUAUGAUUCUCUAUUGAGCUUUCAGUGUUUGAUGUACUCACUGCAAUGUGCUUACUGUUUGUGUUCUCCAGAUAGGCAGCACUCUGUACAAACAUUAAAUAGUCAUAACCAAGUUAUGGUUAGUCUUCUCUUCAAUCCCAGAGUGAGGAGCUUUCCCAGAUGGUACGUUCUUUAAUAAAGUCCAUAUGUUGAUCAGCAGCAACAGCGGGGAAGAGGCUUUAUAAGCAAAGGCUGUGGGACCAAGCCAACAGCAGUCACAGGCUGGUUAACUGGAGAGGCAUGUGGAUACCUUGCAUCAGCUGGAAAUGUGCUGCCUUUCACUGGUUGGCAUGGCUACCUGCUCACUUCUUCAGUCUCUUCAAUUCAACCCUGUCCCCAGUCCAUUCUUUCCUUGUUGCUUGGUCAUCUUAUGUCAUCCUUCCUUUCCUGUGUUCAGCUGUGGCAUGCACAAAGGACGAACUACACUGAAGAUACAUAAAAUAUUGUUUGGCAUUGAA